CAGCAGCCGCGGGAAUACGUAGGUGACAAGCGUUGUCCGGAAUUAUUGGGCGUAAAGGGCUCGCAGGCGGUUUCUUAAGUCUGAUGUGAAAGCCCCCGGCUCAACCGGGGAGGGUCAUUGGAAACUGGGAAACUUGAGUGCAGAAGAGGAGAGUGGAAUUCCACGUGUAGCGGUGAAAUGCGUAGAGAUGUGGAGGAACACCAGUGGCGAAGGCGACUCUCUGGUCCGUAACUGACGCUGAGGAGCGAAAGCGUGGGGAGCGAACAGGAUUAGAUACCCCAGUAGUCCCUGUCUCUUAUAC
rnacentral:rRNA from 1 species